CGAGAACUGGCAGCAGCUCUCCGGCCACUUCCUUUCCCCGCUGCAGUCUCGCUGUCCCCAAGCUGCUCCUGUUUCAUGACACGAAGGGAGGUGGUCCUCAUCCUGGUGCCCCAACCCUUCCUGUCGCUGCACCCCAGCCAGGGGGUGUCCCUGGCGAACAAUGUCACCCUGCGCUGCCACCUGCCCCGCAUGGAUGCCUGGGUCCAGCUCUGGCACAAUGGAACUCUGAGAUUUAAGAAGGAAAAAAGACAAGGAGCAGGGAUGCAGCUGAGUUCUCCUUUGCUGUCACAAACCUGGAGGACGCCGGGACAUAUCAGUGUCGGUACCAGGUGUCAGAGCCACUGUGGACAUCAAAUCAGAGCGACCCCGUGGAGCUGGUGCUGACAGGUGAGGGC
rnacentral:lncRNA from 1 species